AACGAACGCUGGCGGCAUGCCUAACACAUGCAAGUCGAACGAGACCUUCGGGUCUAGUGGCGCACGGGUGCGUAACGCGUGGGAACCUGCCCUUAGGUUCGGAAUAACUCCCCGAAAGGGGUGCUAAUACCGGAUAAUGUCUUCGGACCAAAGAUUUAUCGCCUUUGGAUGGGCCCGCGUUGGAUUAGCUAGUUGGUAGGGUAAAAGCCUACCAAGGCGACGAUCCAUAGCUGGUCUGAGAGGAUGAUCAGCCACACUGGGACUGAGACACGACCCAGACUGCUACGGGAGGCAGCAGAGGGUAAUAUAGGACAAUGGGCGAAAGCCUGAUCCAGCCAUGCCGGGUGGGUGAUGGAGGCCUUAGGGUUGUAAAGCUCUUUUACCCGAGAUGAUAAUGACAGUACCGGGAGAAUAAGCUCCGGCUAACUCCGUG
rnacentral:rRNA from 1 species